rnacentral:rRNA from 1 species
AUUGAACGCUGGCGGCAGGCCUAACACAUGCAAGUCGAGCGAGCGGCGGACUGGUGAGUAAUGCCUAGGAAUCUGCCUGAUGGAGGGGGAUAACUACUGGAAACGGUAGCUAAUACCGCAUACCAUCAGAUGUGCCCAGAUGGGAUUAGCUAUUUGGUGGGUGAACGGCUCACCAAGGCGACGAUCCCUAGCUGGUCUGAGAGGAUGACCAGCCACCCUGGAACUGAGAAACGGUCCAGACUCCUACGGGAGGCAGCAGUGGGGAAUAUUGCACAAUGGGCGCAAGCCUGAUGCAGCCAGGCCGCGUGUAUGAAGAAGGCCUUCGGGUUGUAAAGUACUUUCAGCGGGGAGGCGUUACCCGCAGAAGAAGCACCGGCUAACUCCGUGCCAGCAGCCGCGGUAAUAC